rnacentral:rRNA from 1 species
AACGUAGGUGGCGAGCGUUAUCCGGAAUUACUGGGCGUAAAGCGUGUGCAGGCGGGCUGACAAGUGGGGUAUGAAAUAUCCCGGCUUAACCGGGAGGGGUUAUGCCAGACUGUCAGUCUUGAGUGCGAGAGAGGAGCGUGGAAUUCCGGGUGUAGUGGUGAAAUGCGUAGAUAUCGGGAGGAAUACCAGUGGCGAAGGCGGCUUCCUGGCCUGUUCUUGACGCUGAGGCGCGAAAGCUAGGGUAGCAAACGGG